GAAUUGUAUGAAAGGAAAGAAGACCAGCAUUCCCCUUGACAAGGAUGGAAGAGAUCCUUAGGUCUGAUAAUAUACAGACCAUUAAGAAAAGGCUGCAUGCAUAUUUGGGAUGCCAGGAGAAUCUGUUUC